rnacentral:lncRNA from 1 species
AACAAUCUCCCCCUUUGGCGAUUUCGUGACAAAAUAUAUUACAAUGCUCGUACACAACUCAGAAACAAUAAAAAGAAGAUCAUCGCAAUCACCAAACGACAAUCUCCUGCAUGAUCGAUCCAAUAAAAGAAAAAUUACACUUUGCUCACAUUCCUAAAACAAACUCUAUGAGUUAAACAUGGAGUCUUGAAGUCUUGAACAUU